GUUGGUUGUAAAGUUUCCGAGAGCGGCGUGGGCUGGUGCGAGUGAAGCGCGGGGCGGGGGAGGCGAGGACAGAAGCUCUCCUCGCGGCGUCUUUGUUCUGCUCUGGAGGAGAGACCUUGGCAAGGAGUCGCCGGGCGGGUGCAGGGACCUACCGCCACCACAUUCCGGACCCAGCGGGAGCCCUCCUCUUAAUGCCCCUCCCCCCGCAAGCCAACCCAGGACAUAGCCCCCAGGUCCCCAAGGCCAGGAAAAAGUGUCCGAACGCCUCGUGGACUGCAGCGGGGGAAAUGUCCCUUAAAAGUGCGACGAAGUGGGGAAGAAGGUGUAAUUACUAUUAUCAGCAUCUAGAAAGCAUCAUGAAUUUGCUGGAGUACUUCCUAGCACUGACCUCCUUCAUUCUGCGUUGUUCUUACUGGAUCUUUCCAUCAGCCAACAAUAUGGAAGUACCAAUACAAGGUCAAAUCAUUCCUGGAUUCAUCUGGAGUUACUUAAAAGUUAAAUCAUUGGAAUUUUUGAUGAUACCUUUUCUAUAUGGAUUACAAUUUGAUCGCUGGGAAUUCUCCACCUUAAAGAAGACUCUUUUGCUAUCUGGAAACCCAUGUCCACCUCUGACUUCCACUCAAAAUUGCUUUCCUCACAGUCUGACUGCGAGAGUUGUGAAAAAUUGGGAUGUGCUUCUGAGGUGGGCUGUGGAAUGCCAUUAGAGACGGGGUUUCACCGUGUUAGCCAGGAUGGUCUCAAUCUCCUGACCUCGUGAUCCGCCCACCUCGGCCUCCCAAAGUGCUGGGAUUACAGGUGUGAGCCACCGUGCCUGGUCCUAUAUUUUAAUUCCUGUCGAGUACCCUCAGGUGACUACAGAUGUGUUAACACCCAGCAUGUUCCGGUAGGAGACUUCCUGGAUGGGGAAGAUUUCCAGGUGUGAAUCAUGGCAAUACAGUGAAAGAUAGUGAUUUACUGCUUUUGAGGGCGUGCAUGUAUAUGAUUAACGGAUGGAAGUGCAGGACUCCAAGAUUUACUUCCUUCCCUUUCCAGCAGAAUUACCUGAGAUGAGUGAGUAAUGGGAUAAUUUGUAAUGCCACAGGCCCCUUUUCAAGGGACCAGUAAUCAAAACAGGAAGAUGAAACUGAGAAGAUUUCAACUGGAAGAAUACAACUUUUGAUAAUUUCUGGAUAUACCUCUUAAUUGCAAGCAGGAGAGUCUUCAGAGUUUUCCUGUUUUUUUUGUUUUUGUUUUUUGUUGUUGUUGUUGUUGUUUGAGACGGAGUUUUGCUCUUAUUGCCUGGGCUGGA
rnacentral:lncRNA from 1 species